rnacentral:rRNA from 11 species
AGGUAAGGCCUAAAUAUUCUAAAGGCACCAAGUCAUAUCUGAUCCUGGAAGUUAAUCAGGUCAGUACUGGUUAAUACUUGGAUGGGAGAACCAUAAAGUAUACUAGGUGCUGUAGGCU